rnacentral:rRNA from 1 species
AUGCAAGUCGAACGCGCAGCAUUCUGUAGCAAUACAGGGUGUGGGCGCGUGGCGAACGGGUGCGUAACACGUGGAUAACCUUCCUUGAGGUGGGGAAUAACCCAGUGAAAAUUGGGCUAAUACCGCAUAACAUCGCGAUGGCACAUGCUGAUGCGAUCAAAGGCGCAAGUCGCCACAAGAGGGAUCCGCGGCCGAUUAGCUAGUUGGCGAGGUAAUGGCUCACCAAGGCAAUGAUCGGUAGCCGGACUGAGAGGUUGGCCGGCCACACUGGAACUGAGACACGGUCCAGACUCCUACGGGAGGCAGCAGUGGGGAAUCUUGCACAAUGGACGAAAGUCUGAUGCAGCAACGCCGCGUGGGGGAUGAAGCUUCUCGGAGUGUAAACCCCUUUCGACCCGGAAGAAUGCCCGCAAGGGUAUGACGGUACGGGUAUAAGAAGCCCCGGCUAACUACGUGCCAGCAGCCGCGGUAAUACGUAGGGGGCCAGCGUUGCUCGGAAUUACUGGGCGUAAAGGGUCCGUAGGCGGUGUAGCAAGUCGAUAGUGAAAUCUCUGGGCUUAACCCAGAGGCUGCUAACGAAACUGCUGUGCUAGAGUGUGAGAGAGGCGAGUGGAAUUACGGGUGUAGCGGUGA